AGAGUUUGAUCCUGGCUCAGGAUGAACGCCGGCGGUGUGCCUAAUACAUGCAAGUCGUACGCACUGGCCCAACUGAUUGAUGGUGCUUGUACCGGAUUGACGAUGGAUUACCAGUGAGUGGCGGACGGGUGAGUAACACGUGGGUAACCUGCCCCGGAGCGGGGGAUAACAUUUGGAAACAGAUGCUAAUACCGCAUAACAACGAAAACCACAUGGUUUUCGUUUCAAAGAUGGCUUAUGCUAUCACUCUGGGAUGGACCCGCGGUGCAUUAGCUAGUUGGUAAGGUAACGGCUUACCAAGGCGAUGAUGCAUAGCCGAGUUGAGAGACUGAUCGGCCACAAUGGAACUGAGACACGGUCCAUACUCCUACGGGAGGCAGCAGUAGGGAAUCUUCCACAAUGGGCGCAAGCCUGAUGGAGCAACACCGCGUGAGUGAAGAAGGGUUUCGGCUCGUAAAGCUCUGUUGUUGGAGAAGAACGUAUCUGAGAGUAACUGUUCAGGUAGUGACGGUAUCCAACCAGAAAGUCACGGCUAACUACGUGCCAGCAGCCGCGGUAAUACGUAGGUGGCAAGCGUUAUCCGGAUUUAUUGGGCGUAAAGCGAGCGCAGGCGGUUGCUUAGGUCUGAUGUGAAAGCCUUCGGCUUAACCGAAGAAGUGCAUCGGAAACCGGGCGACUUGAGUGCAGAAGAGGACAGUGGAACUCCAUGUGUAGCGGUGGAAUGCGUAGAUAUAUGGAAGAACACCAGUGGCGAAGGCGGCUGUCUGGUCUGCAACUGACGCUGAGGCUCGAAAGCAUGGGUAGCGAACAGGAUUAGAUACCCUGGUAGUCCAUGCCGUAAACGAUGAGUGCUAGGUGUUGGAGGGUUUCCGCCCUUCAGUGCCGGAGCUAACGCAUUAAGCACUCCGCCUGGGGAGUACGACCGCAAGGUUGAAACUCAAAGGAAUUGACGGGGGCCCGCACAAGCGGUGGAGCAUGUGGUUUAAUUCGAAGCUACGCGAAGAACCUUACCAGGUCUUGACAUCUUGCGCUAACCUUAGAGAUAAGGCGUUCCCUUCGGGGACGCAAUGACAGGUGGUGCAUGGUCGUCGUCAGCUCGUGUCGUGAGAUGUUGGGUUAAGUCCCGCAACGAGCGCAACCCUUGUUGUCAGUUGCCAGCAUUAAGUUGGGCACUCUGGCGAGACUGCCGGUGACAAACCGGAGGAAGGUGGGGACGACGUCAAGUCAUCAUGCCCCUUAUGACCUGGGCUACACACGUGCUACAAUGGACGGUACAACGAGUCGCAAACUCGCGAGGGCAAGCUAAUCUCUUAAAGCCGUUCUCAGUUCGGAUUGUAGGCUGCAACUCGCCUACAUGAAGUCGGAAUCGCUAGUAAUCGCGAAUCAGCAUGUCGCGGUGAAUACGUUCCCGGGCCUUGCACUCACCGCCCGUCA
rnacentral:rRNA from 1 species